GUAGGGUGCGAGCGUUGUCCGGAAUUACUGGGCGUAAAGAGCUCGUAGGCGGUUUGUCACGUCGUCUGUGAAAUCCCUCGGCUUAACCGGGGCCGUGCAGGCGAAUACGGGCAGACUUGAGUACUACAGGGGAGACUGGAAUUCCUGGUGUAGCGGUGAAAUGCGCAGAUAUCAGGAGGAACACCGGUGGCGAAGGCGGGUCUCUGGGUAGUAACUGACGCUGAGGAGCGAAAGCAUGGGUAGCGAACAGGAUUAGAUACCCUGGUAGUCCAUGCCGUAAACGAUGUCUACUAGCGUU
rnacentral:rRNA from 1 species